UACGGGGGGGGCAAGCGUUGUUCGGAAUUACUGGGCGUAAAGGGCGCGUAGGCGGCCCGAUAAGUCCCGCGUGAAAGCCCCCGGCUCAACUGGGGAACUGCGCGGGAAACUAUCGGGCUUGAGUUCGGGAGAGGGAAGCGGAAUUCCGGGUGUAGCGGUGAAAUGCGUAGAUAUCCGGAGGAACACCGGUGGCGAAGGCGGCUUCCUGGACCGACACUGACGCUGAGGCGCGAAAGCUAGGGGAGCAAACGGG
rnacentral:rRNA from 1 species